CUUUUUUUAUGACCCUCGACUUUUUACCCUCACCCUCGACUUUUUACCCUCACCCUCGACAUUGGACCCUCGACACUCGACCCUCGACAAAAACCUAAACUCCAAUAGUCGCAUCGACUUCAAAGCGAUGCUGGCAGCUGGCUUGUUAUUGUCGUGUCGGCUCCUCAUUGUAAUCGAAUAGUCGGUAAAUUGUAAUCGCCGCUCGUUGCAAGGAGAAAGAUAUGGCUUCUACAGGACUGUAUAUAGAUCCACACCACGAUCUUCUGUGUAUAAUGAACGAAUGUAACGUGUUUCAUUUAACGAAAAGGUGCGCGCGCGAAAGAAUUCUGAUCGAAAGCUUUUGGUGUGCAAUUAUUGGCAUAAUUUGCAGUUCCUGCGAUGUGAUCUGUGAAGAACAGCGCUGUUUGAAUCACCUCCGUGUCAGGUCAGUCUCAUGAAU